AUUUUAUGUGGCAUUUUUAGGUUCUAUAUCUUAAUGUCGGUUUGAAAGGAAAGAUGUCAUUCAAGAAGAGAGAAGAGUAAGAUGUAAAGAAGGUAUGGUUAGAGAGAUUCCAAUGACAUCAACAACUGCAACAAAAGUGUAACAAUCAGGAGAAAAAUAUAAAGAAGGCAUUAUUAUACAUGUAUGUUAUAAUUUAAGAACACUAGCGUGUCCAUGACUUUUUCCUCUCGGCUACAAACUCGGACAACAGAGCAAUUCAACUUCAAGGCUCCUAAAUUUCAGAACUCUAGAGCAUUGCUCGGAAUAUUCUUGUUAGUAGAGAGGUCAAAACCAACGAUUUGUAAGGGUAAUCUAAAUUCUAAACCAUAAAAUUAAUAGCAUUUGACUGACCAAAACUACAAUUCGAACCAAUUUGUAGGCAAUGAUGAGAUCUUCUUUUGCAAUCCUACUCAUUUUCCCACGUGCCUUACGAAUUUACAAAAAUACCCUUGUCCGCUAUUCAGGUAGCAGAUACACCCCAA